GGGUUGUGAGGUUAAGCGACUAAGCGUACACGGUGGAUGCCCUGGCAGUCAGAGGCGAUGAAGGACGUGCUAAUCUGCGAUAAGCGUCGGUAAGGUGAUAUGAACCGUUAUAACCGGCGAUUUCCGAAUGGGGAAACCCAGUGUGAUUCGUCACACUAUCAUUAACUGAAUCCAUAGGUUAAUGAGGCGAACCGGGGGAACUGAAACAUCUAAGUACCCCGAGGAAAAGAAAUCAACCGAGAUUCCCCCAGUAGCGGCGAGCGAACGGGGAGCAGCCCAGAGCCUGAAUCAGUGUGUGUGUUAGUGGAAGCGUCUGGAAAGGCGCGCGAUACAGGGUGACAGCCCCGUACACAAAAAUGCACAUGCUGUGAGCUCGAUGAGUAGGGCGGGACACGUGGUAUCCUGUCUGAAUAUGGGGGGACCAUCCUCCAAGGCUAAAUACUCCUGACUGACCGAUAGUGAACCAGUACCGUGAGGGAAAGGCGAAAAGAACCCCGGCGAGGGGAGUGAAAAAGAACCUGAAACCGUGUACGUACAAGCAGUGGGAGCACGCUUCGGCGUGUGACUGCGUACCUUUUGUAUAAUGGGUCAGCGACUUAUAUUCUGUAGCAAGGUUAACCGAAUAGGGGAGCCGAAGGGAAACCGAGUCUUAACUGGGCGUUAAGUUGCAGGGUAUAGACCCGAAACCCGGUGAUCUAGCCAUGGGCAGGUUGAAGGUUGGGUAACACUAACUGGAGGACCGAACCGACUAAUGUUGAAAAAUUAGCGGAUGACUUGUGGCUGGGGGUGAAAGGCCAAUCAAACCGGGAGAUAGCUGGUUCUCCCCGAAAGCUAUUUAGGUAGCGCCUCGUGAAUUCAUCUCCGGGGGUAGAGCACUGUUUCGGCAAGGGGGUCAUCCCGACUUACCAACCCGAUGCAAACUGCGAAUACCGGAGAAUGUUAUCACGGGAGACACACGGCGGGUGCUAACGUCCGUCGUGAAGAGGGAAACAACCCAGACCGCCAGCUAAGGUCCCAAAGUCAUGGUUAAGUGGGAAACGAUGUGGGAAGGCCCAGACAGCCAGGAUGUUGGCUUAGAAGCAGCCAUCAUUUAAAGAAAGCGUAAUAGCUCACUGGUCGAGUCGGCCUGCGCGGAAGAUGUAACGGGGCUAAACCAUGCACCGAAGCUGCGGCAGCGACGCUGAUGCGUUGUUGGGUAGGGGAGCGUUCUGUAAGCCUGUGAAGGUGUGCUGUGAGGCAUGCUGGAGGUAUCAGAAGUGCGAAUGCUGACAUAAGUAACGAUAAAGCGGGUGAAAAGCCCGCUCGCCGGAAGACCAAGGGUUCCUGUCCAACGUUAAUCGGGGCAGGGUGAGUCGACCCCUAAGGCGAGGCCGAAAGGCGUAGUCGAUGGGAAACAGGUUAAUAUUCCUGUACUUGGUGUUACUGCGAAGGGGGGACGGAGAAGGCUAUGUUGGCCGGGCGACGGUUGUCCCGGUUUAAGCGUGUAGGCUGGUUUUCCAGGCAAAUCCGGAAAAUCAAGGCUGAGGCGUGAUGACGAGGCACUACGGUGCUGAAGCAACAAAUGCCCUGCUUCCAGGAAAAGCCUCUAAGCAUCAGGUAACAUCAAAUCGUACCCCAAACCGACACAGGUGGUCAGGUAGAGAAUACCAAGGCGCUUGAGAGAACUCGGGUGAAGGAACUAGGCAAAAUGGUGCCGUAACUUCGGGAGAAGGCACGCUGAUAUGUAGGUGAAGUCCCUUGCGGAUGGAGCUGAAAUCAGUCGAAGAUACCAGCUGGCUGCAACUGUUUAUUAAAAACACAGCACUGUGCAAACACGAAAGUGGACGUAUACGGUGUGACGCCUGCCCGGUGCCGGAAGGUUAAUUGAUGGGGUCAGCGCAAGCGAAGCUCUUGAUCGAAGCCCCGGUAAACGGCGGCCGUAACUAUAACGGUCCUAAGGUAGCGAAAUUCCUUGUCGGGUAAGUUCCGACCUGCACGAAUGGCGUAAUGAUGGCCAGGCUGUCUCCACCCGAGACUCAGUGAAAUUGAACUCGCUGUGAAGAUGCAGUGUACCCGCGGCAAGACGGAAAGACCCCGUGAACCUUUACUAUAGCUUGACACUGAACAUUGAGCCUUGAUGUGUAGGAUAGGUGGGAGGCUUAGAAGUGUGGACGCCAGUCUGCAUGGAGCCGACCUUGAAAUACCACCCUUUAAUGUUUGAUGUUCUAACGUUGACCCGUAAUCCGGGUUGCGGACAGUGUCUGGUGGGUAGUUUGACUGGGGCGGUCUCCUCCUAAAGAGUAACGGAGGAGCACGAAGGUUGGCUAAUCCUGGUCGGACAUCAGGAGGUUAGUGCAAUGGCAUAAGCCAGCUUGACUGCGAGCGUGACGGCGCGAGCAGGUGCGAAAGCAGGUCAUAGUGAUCCGGUGGUUCUGAAUGGAAGGGCCAUCGCUCAACGGAUAAAAGGUACUCCGGGGAUAACAGGCUGAUACCGCCCAAGAGUUCAUAUCGACGGCGGUGUUUGGCACCUCGAUGUCGGCUCAUCACAUCCUGGGGCUGAAGUAGGUCCCAAGGGUAUGGCUGUUCGCCAUUUAAAGUGGUACGCGAGCUGGGUUUAGAACGUCGUGAGACAGUUCGGUCCCUAUCUGCCGUGGGCGCUGGAGAACUGAGGGGGGCUGCUCCUAGUACGAGAGGACCGGAGUGGACGCAUCACUGGUGUUCGGGUUGUCAUGCCAAUGGCACUGCCCGGUAGCUAAAUGCGGAAGAGAUAAGUGCUGAAAGCAUCUAAGCACGAAACUUGCCCCGAGAUGAGUUCUCCCUGACUCCUUGAGAGUCCUGAAGGAACGUUGAAGACGACGACGUUGAUAGGCCGGGUGUGUAAGCGCAGCGAUGCGUUGAGCUAACCGGUACUAAUGAACCGUGAGGCUUAACCUUACAACGCCGAAG
rnacentral:rRNA from 1 species